rnacentral:rRNA from 1 species
GGUUGAUCCUGCCAGUAGUCAUAUGCUUGUCUCAAAGAUUAAGCCAUGCAUGUCUAAGUAUAAGCAACCUUAUACUGUGAAACUGCGUACAGCUCAUUAAAUCAGUUAUCAUUUAUUUGAUGGUCACUUACUACAUGGAUACCCGUAGUAAUUCUAGAGCUAAUACAUGCGCAAAAUCCUGACUCUUGCGGGAAGGGAUGUAUUUAUUAGAUAAAAAACCAAUGCCACCUCUGGUGGGUUGUUUGGUGAUUCAUAGUAACUGUUCGAAUCGCAUGCUUCGGCGGCGAUAGUU